AAUUUUAUACUUGCAAGAGUCAUGGAAAACCUGGAAAAGUCAUGGAAUUAGUCAAAAUCAUUAUAAGUCACAUAACUUGUUUGUCUAUUAGUGAAAUUAAUUAUUAGAAUCAUCUUCAGUGGAUAAUCCUCCAUAAAAUGUAACAUAAUGCCAAAUUCAUUUUCUAAAGCUGGCGUCUUAAUGUAGCUUUAAUAUGCGUUGAUGUGUGACAGCGUUUGUUUACCAUCAGGUGUGUUUUGUCAUUUUCUCCCUCAGUUUGUCUCUCCCUUCCUGUGUGCCAAUUAUGUUUACAUAGAGUUUGAAUCUGAUGUUUGAAAAACGCUGGGCAAGUGUUGAAAGUCUUGAAAAGUCAUGAAAAAGUUUGGAAAUAUUGUCCAUGAAAAUGUGAGCGGAACCUGUAAUUAAAAGUAUGACUGAUUUUGCAGUAAUAAACUGAUCCCAGAAG